rnacentral:rRNA from 1 species
UAAUUAGGCUUGGUUUAAUAGAAAAAUUUCUAUAAAUUUUUUAUGAUUUUGAUAAAAAACUUUUAACAGAAAAUAGAUUUUAUUUAAUAAUGAAAAAUUAUUGAAAUUUAUAGCUAAAUUUAGCUAAUU